rnacentral:ncRNA from 1 species
UUGGCAAACCAUCGGAAACGGUGGGACGCAAAGUUAUGAACCUAAAGUAUUUACUAUGGUAGUCAGAC